rnacentral:misc_RNA from 1 species
CUUGCGUCACUUGGGGAGUAGCCAGCCGCCGGUUCGGCGGGCCCGCGCGUCAACAUACUUGGCCGAGAGGUCAUGGCGGCGGGGGACGGAGGUCCAGGCGAGACCAAUGACGUUGCG